GUGUUCCUUUCGGGGACUUGGAGAUAGGUGCUGCAUGGCUGUCGUCAGCUCGUGUCGUAAGAUGUCCGGUUAAGUCCGAUAACGAGCGCAACCCUUGCCCUUAGUUACCAGCAUUAAGUUGGGGACUCUAGGGGGACUGCCGGUGUUAAACCGGAGGAAGGCGGGGAUGACGUCAAGUCCUCAUGGCCCUUACGGGUAGGGCUACACACGUACUACAAUGGCAGAAACAGACCGUUGCGAAACCGCAAGGUGGAGCUAAUCGGUAAAACACUGUCUCAGUCCGGAUUGGGGUCUGCAACUCGACCCCAUGAAGCUGGAAUCGCUAGUAAUCGCUGAUCAGCAAGCAGCGGUGAAUACGUUCCCGGGCCUUGUACACACCACCCGUCACACCACGAAAGUGGUCAUAACCAGAAGCAGAUAAGCUAACCGCAAGGAGGCAGUCUACCAAGGUUGUGGCCGCGAUUGGGGUGAAGUCGUAACAAGGUAGCCGUAGGGGAACC
rnacentral:rRNA from 1 species